AGAACGAACGCUGGCGGCAGGCCUCAAACAUGCAAGUCUAGGGGGUGUAGCAAUACAUCACCGGCGGACGGGUGCGUAACGCGUGGGAAUAUACCUAUUGGUUCGGAACAACUGAGGGAAACUUCAGCUAAAUACCGGAUGAGCCCUAACGGGGAAAGAUUUCUCGCCAAUAGAUUAGCCCGCGUCCGAUUAGCUAGUUGGUGGGGUAAAAGCCUACCAAGGCGACGAUCGGUAGCUGUUCUGAGAGGAAGAUCAGCCACACUGGGACUGAGACACGGCCCAGACUCCUACGGGAGGCAGCAGUUGGGAAUCUUGGACAAUGGGGGAAACCCUGAUCCAGCCAUGCCGCGUGAGUGAUGAAGGCCUUCGGGUUGUAAAACUCUUUCGACGGGGACGAUAAUGACGGUACCCGUAGAAGAAGCUCCGGCUAACUUCGUGCCAGCAGCCGC
rnacentral:rRNA from 1 species